UGUGCCAGGAUUCUAGUUGAAUCCUGCCAUGCCCCCUAACCUAAUGGAACCUGCCCCUGAGGUCACCUCUCAUAGGAGGCACCCCAUAGAAUCCUUUCAACAGAGGAUUAGCAUUGUAACUGCUGAGUUGCUCUCUCAGUUGCAAAAUUGGAACAAUAGGCGGCAAUUUGCACCUCCCAGUUACUUUCAUGCUGAUGCUGUCAAUGAGUACUCAAAUAUUUGCAUCUGACAGCUUUCUUUAAUUAACAGAGUAUAUUCGUGAGAAAUAUUGGGAAGAAAUUGUCGAUUUCUUCAGGCGCCUGAAACUGAUCAAGGAACUGUUGCAAAGAUAAGAGAUGCUAUCAGACAACAAAGGGAAAUCAUUGUUCAGUUGAUCAACUGC